rnacentral:misc_RNA from 1 species
GAUGAAGAACGUAGCGAAAUGCGAUAAGUAGUGUGAAUUGCAGAAUUCAGUGAAUCAUCGAAUCUUUGAACGCACAUUGCGCCCCUUGGUAUUCCAUGGGGCAUGCCUGUUCGAGCGUCAUUUGUACCUUCAAGCUUUGCUUGGUGUUGGGUGUUUGUCCUGAGGGACUCGCCUUAAAGUAAUUGGCAGCCAGUGUUUGGUUUUGAAGCGCAGCACAAGUCGCGAUUCAAGGCUAUACACCAGCUUCCACAAGCCUUUUUCACUUUUGACCUCGGAUCAGGUAGGGAUACCCGCUGAACUUAAGCAUAUUAAUAAGCGGAGGA